UUCUUGUACAAAAGCUAACACGAGUUGUGGCGGGACUGACUCCGAGAGGAGGCUUCAACGUGAUUCGAGUUGCGAGACAUCCACGCCGUGCCCAAAAACGACACGAAAUCGCACCUUGAUAGGCCUAACCUUUGACUGCUCAACGCGCGUAAUUUGAUCUAAAAUUUUUAUUUUUAUAAGACCUGUUCCUCCUCAUAUAUAAACUUGAAUUCCAUCUCCAGCUGCCUCAACAACACCCUUUCCUCUCUUCUUCUCUUUCUCUCCGUAGAAUUUGCAGUAAUGAAGAAUCGAGGGUCUGCCAAAAUCUCUGUCAAAUGGAUCCCGAUCCUCUGUGUCUUUUGUUUUGCUCUUGGAAUUAUCUUCUCUAACAGGGCGUGGGAUGCACCUGAGUCCAACGGUCAGCUCAUAGCGCAGGGUCGUCAAGAACAAGAGUUGCAAGUUGUCUCCGAAGAUUCCACAGCUCAGAAGAUACUUUCACAUGAUAAAAAUGUAAUGGGCGAAGUCUUGAAAACCCAUGAAGCAAUUCAAUCGCUAGACAAGUCAAUUGCAAUGCUUCAAAUGCAGUUAGCAGCAUCUAGGAGUUCUCAGGAAAUGAGCUUGGAUGGCUCCGCUGCCUUGUCUCAUGAUGGCCCACCCCGGCAGAAAGUUUUCAUGGUUAUUGGGAUUAAUACAGCUUUUAGCAGUAGAAAGAGGCGUGAUUCUGUCAGAGAAACUUGGAUGCCUCAAGGAGAGAAGCUUCUUCAAUUGGAGCGUGAGAAGGGGAUUGUUAUUCGCUUCAUGAUUGGCCAUAGGUGAUUGUUUUCACACCCUUUUCUUUCUUUAAGCAUUAAUUUUUUUGUGGGUAGGAAAAGUUUCAGUAUGCCAUAGGAGGUAGAAAUUGCAUUUCUCUCAGAAAUACUAUAAAAUUUUAUUGUUCUCCUGUUGCAUUUAGGUCAGUUAAGUAUAAUGUCAUUCAGGGUAAUGGACAUGCCAAUAUGAACUGAUUCAUGUGCCAUUUGCAAAGGCAGUCUGACUCCAAAGCGGUAAAGCUAUAUAAACACUUGCAUUUUUGCAGUAGUUAUUUCUUUCUUCCUGGAUAUUUUGGCUUUCAAAUUGAAUUCUACUUCUACCUGCUUUUGAAGCACCUUAGGUGAAGCUCUCUCAUCAACCUGCAUUAUUUAUAACAAUUGUUGUCUUUAAUUGAAAAAUACACUUCACUAAUGAAGGAAAAAGUUAAUUUAUUCGUUCCACAAUCUGAAUGCACUUGGAAUUUCUGGGAAAUCUAUAGGGAACUAAUAUAUUUGCUUUUGGAAGUCCCAUUUAUAGAAUGCUGAACUUUCCUUUAAGUGACUAUGACCUGUUUAACAUUUUACACUACUGUAAUUUGCUUCUGGUGAAUGUGUCCUGCAUGACAUAUAGUGUAAUCCUUUUGCUUUGUAGUUACUAGUUUCUAAUUCUUCUUCAAGUGGUAUCUUCUCUUGUUUUCCAUAUUUGGACUGAUGCGUCUUAUUCAACCUCUGACACUAAUUAAAUAAACUCAUGCUGACAUAAAACAUUUAGGGCAAAAAUUAACAUUUUCUGGAAGUGCGUUCUGUGUACUAUUAUCCCUUAGUUGUAGAUGUAGAAUGGAAAUUAACUUUAUGCAACACAGUUUUUUAAUUCACUGAGUAGAUAAACUGAUUUGCUUCAUAGAUAUAGGUCAAAACUAUUUUGCAUUUGUUGGUAUGAACUCUUUGGUGAUUGUGUCAUCAGAAUCUCCAAAUCUUUAUGUCGGAUCGUCUACUAGACCUUAUGAUGUUGGUUGAUAAAACAUCCAUUUGCAUUCACAUAAUCCAUCAUUGCAAUGUGGUAAAAGAAGAAAUAGAAAAAUACUUGUGUUGACCCUUUUAAUUGCAUAGCUCUCUUGAAUGAAGCUGUUACUUUACGCAAUGUAUCUUGUGUUUUUUUCCUGAAGAAAUGGAUAAUCAAGAAAAUUGGUUAACGUCAGAGAGCUUGUUAUAAUGAUAAAAACAACAAAUUCCCCCUUUUGAUAUCACUUUGAACAAAGCUACUUAACAUAAAAUUUCUUUGUUGUAUUGAAUUGGGAACUGACGUUAAUGAUAAAUGUAUUCAUUGUUUCAGUGCCACAUCUAAUAGCAUUUUAGAUAGAGCCAUUGAUUCAGAAGAUUCUCAGCAUAAGGAUUUCCUUAGACUGGAGCAUGUUGAAGGAUACCAUGAAUUGUCUGCAAAAACAAAAAUAUUCUUCUCCACUGCUGUUGCUAAGUGGGAUGCUGAAUAUUACGUCAAGGUGGAUGAUGAUGUCCAUGUUAAUCUGGGUAUGCUGGCGGCUACUCUGGCACGGCAUCGUUCAAAACCCAGAGUGUACAUUGGAUGCAUGAAGUCGGGACCUGUUCUUGCUCAAAAGAAUGUCAAAUAUCAUGAACCAGAGUAUUGGAA
rnacentral:misc_RNA from 1 species